ACGAUGAAAACAUUCAGAGCUUUCAUUUCCGUUAACGUAGCAAUACACGACAGCGGUGUGUGUGAGUGUGCUUGAUACGCAUAGUAAACCGUGACAAUGGCGUCUUCGAUCAUACUUUGGGUGUUAAUAAUUCUCCUGGAAACCAACACCAUAUCAGGCAAUAAGUUUUGAUGUAUUAAUUAAAUGUUUCUCUUUUCAUAUUAAAAGCAUAGUAACACUUGAAUUUAAAUUUGAUGUUUAACCAUGUCACAAUUAAUGUGUUGUAAUUUACAUUCCAGGAACAUGCACAGAAUUCGUUGAUGGGCCUAUAAACCGUGUUUGGAUGGAAUAUAAAUUCACAUGGGCAAAUACCGAAACAAAACACGUAUACUGUUUUAAUGGAUCCGAACACUCUCCGAUAGGAGAGUGCUAUGAAUUUGAUAGAUUUGAAUGCCCCAUUGAUCAAGCGAGCAGCGGUGUGUACACUAUGUCUUCGAAUGCAGAUUUAACGGUAGUGUACGUUGUCAUAAUAACAUCAAAUAACAUAACGUCGGGAAACUUCAGUUGUUCUAAAACCGAUGGUGCAGGGAAAAUCACAAAAUGUGUACAACAUUCAGUUUCAACAACUCCUGCACCUACGACAAGUAUGACAACUCCAAAACCUGGAGGUUGGAAUAUCUUCCUAUUCGCAAUAAUCGCAAUACUCGCAAUCGUCGUCUUGGUCUUGGCGAUUGUGCUCCAUCGACUUCGUGCACAAGGGCAAUACGGAAAACCUGGUAAGUAACGAGCAGCUUAUAUGAAUAACUAAAUAAACUAACAUAAAUUUACCUUCUGUAUCUUUCUAGUUCACUACCGAAUUUACAGGAUAGGACUUUAGGUUAAGCCCCUC